rnacentral:rRNA from 1 species
UACGGAGGGUGCAAGCGUUAUCCGGAUUCACUGGGUUUAAAGGGUGCGUAGGUGGGCAGGUAAGUCAGUGGUGAAAUCUCCGGGCUUAACUCGGAAACUGCCAUUGAUACUAUCUGUCUUGAAUACCGUGGAGGUUAGCGGAAUAUGUCAUGUAGCGGUGAAAUGCUUAGAUAUGACAUAGAACACCAAUUGCGAAGGCAGCUGGCUACACGAAUAUUGACACUGAUGCACGAAAGCGUGGGGAUCAAACAGGA